GGGAUGUUCAUAACCCUUUGUUGUCCGACAUCUGUUGCCUCCGGGGCGACCCUGCCUUCGGGCGGGGGCUCCGGGUGGACACUUCAAACUCUUGCGUAACUUUGCAGUCUGAGUAAACUUAAUUAAUAAAUUAAAACUUUUAACAACGGAUCUCUUGGUUCUGGCAUCGAUGAAGAACGCAGCGAAAUGCGAUAAGUAAUGUGAAUUGCAGAAUUCAGUGAAUCAUCGAAUCUUUGAACGCACAUUGCGCCCCCUGGUAUUCCGGGGGGCAUGCCUGUUCGAGCGUCAUUUCACCACUCAAGCCUCGCUUGGUAUUGGGCAACGCGGUCCGCCGCGUGCCUCAAAUCGACCGGCUGGGUCUUCUGUCCCCUAAGCGUUGUGGAAACUAUUCGCUAAAGGGUGCUCGGGAGGCUACGCCGUAAAACAACCCCAUUUCUAAGGUUGACCUCGGAUCAGGUAGGGAUACCCGCUGAACUUAAGCAUAUCAAUA
rnacentral:rRNA from 1 species